rnacentral:rRNA from 1 species
UAAUAGUGUAUAUUAAAGUUGUUGCAGUUAAAAAGCUCGUAGUUGAAUGUUGGUGUCGAACGAGCGGUCAGCUUCGGCUGUACUGCUCUCUCGACUCCUUCCUUCUGUGGACUACGUCGCACUUUACUGUGUGGCGCUAGGACGCAGAUCGUUUACUGUGAAAAAAUUAGAGUGUUCAAAGCAGGCCGUACGCUUGAAUACAUUAGCAUGGAAUAAUGGAAUAGGACGUCGGGCCUAUUUUGUUGGUUCUAGGACCGUCGUAAUGAUUAAUAGGGACAGUUGGGGCCGUUUAUAUUCCGUAGUCAGAGGUGAAAUUCUUGGAUUUAUGAAAGAUGAACAACUGCGAAAGCAUUUACCAAGGGUGUUUNCAUUA